CAACAUAACUUCGCAAGAAAGGUUGAGAAGAGUGCAUCAGACGAAGCACGGGCAGGACUCCAACUCAAAGCAAGUGCAGUAUAAAUUCAUCUCCUCACACAGGUUGAAAAUCAAAGUUAUCCCCCGGGAUUCAGAGUUAAAGCCCCUGGAGGACUCGUCAAUCAUUACUUGAAGCUGAAAGAAUGAGCUACAUAGAUAUUGUCCUUGGCCUUUUGGAGGUGUACAAGAUGAGAAGGCUGAUAAUUCGGACAUUCCUAGUAGAUUCAGCGACCUCAUCUGAAGGCAGGUUAAGAAGGCGAUCCACAUCUCUUAUAAAAUCAACCCAAUCCAAGUGACCGAAGACACUUGUGAAGCCGUAUUAAACUUAAGUUCCUACGUGCUUAUUGUGGAUUCAGAAGAAGCUUUGCGUAUCUGAAGUAAAAUCUUCUUUCUCAC